CAGACCGCGAACGUGUCAUCUAGCCUGCCGGCGGCGGCAUCGUUCGUCGCUCGGCCAAGUCCUCGACACCUCCUCUUCUCGGAGUGGAGGAUCGGGGUAAAAGAACCCACGGCGCCCAAAGCGUCAAGGAACACUGUGCCUAGCUCGGGGACGCGGACGGCUUGCUGGCCGCCCCCCGUGCUGCAAUGCUUUUUAAUCCACACGACUCUYGGCAACGGAWAUYUCGGCUCUYGCAUCGAUUAAAAACGUAGCGAAAUGCGAUACCUGGKGKGAAUUGCAAAAUCCCGCGAACCAUCGAGUCUUUGAACGCAAGUUGCGCCCGARGCCAUUCGGCCGARGGCACGCCUGCCUGGGCGUCACGCAWAACACGCUYCCACCCCCUCAUCGGGGARCGGGACGCGGCAUGKGGCCCCCCGUCGCGCAAGGGGCGGUGGGCCGAAAAWWUKGCUGCCGGCGUAUCGUGCCGGAMACAGCGCGUGGUGGGCSACCUCSCUUUACUUCCGCAGUGCAUCCGGCGYGUAGCCGACAUGAUGGCCUCGAAGGACCCUAUGAACGGUGCGCACGACGCUCCGACC
rnacentral:misc_RNA from 1 species